rnacentral:SRP_RNA from 2 species
GCUGGGUGUAGUGGCGCAUGCCUGUAAUCCCAGCUACUCGGGAGGCUGAGGCAGGAGAAUCGCUUGAGCCCAGGAGGCGGAGGUUGCAGUGAGCUGAGAUUGUGCCACUGCACUUCAGCCUGGGCAACAAGAGCGAAACUCUGUCUCAA